GCGCCGCUCAGUCCGGGAGACUGACCUACGGAAAAGAGAGAGAUAAACAUGAGGAUAGAACGAGACAGCGACAGCGUGCACCUGUGUACUUAAAAAUUGAAUGAUUGUUGAAACGAAACGGAUGUAAAACAAUGCAUACAUUUGAAAGGGACAGAAACAUAAACGCGCUCGCGUGCAGUACGACGCAAAAGACAAUGCUGAAAAAAUAAUCAUUACAUCGAUAGAAGCAAAUUAAACGAUAAUGAACAUUGCACCAACACAAUACAGUUCACUUUGAUUCGACGAGCCAGUUGCUACAUACGAAUCGGGCUAUGAAGAGGGCUAUGCUCGGAGUUUCUUUGCGUGAUAGAAUCCGAAACAAGGAUAUCCACAAAAGAACCAAAGUAACCACAUAGUCCGAAGGACAAGCAAGCUGAAGUGGCAAUGGGCUGAUCACAUAGAUCGAAGAACCCACAACCGAUAGGAAAAAAGAUUCUUGAGUGACGACCCCGUACGGGUAAACGUGUGUGUAAGACGACCCUUCCACUAGAAAUGACGAGCUCAAAUGCCAGUCUAUGAAGGUGGCCUAUUUCCAGCAAUGGACGGAUAACGACUGUAAUGAUAAUGACGAUGAUCCACAAUAACUUCGUACGGGUAGAUGGUUUCUUUUUAAAUAAUAUUUCGCCUAUUACUCGCUAAUAAUGUAUCAUUUUAUAGGUGAAAGAAUUUUUAAUAUUGGUUGAGUAAUUUUUGAGUUUAUCCAUUAAAAACAAACAAUCAAAUCUUUCCUAUUUAUAAUAAUAGUAUUAAAAAUAAAAAAGCUAUUUGAAUCUUCAC